GAUGAACGCUGGCGGCGCGCCUAACACAUGCAAGUCGAACGAUUAAAGCACCUUCGGGUGUGUAUAAAGUGGCGAACGGCUGAGUAACACGUGGGCAACCUGCCCCUUUCAUUGGGGUAGCCACGGGAAACCGUGGAUAAUACCGAAUACUUCGAGACUUCCGCAUGGAAGACUCGAGAAAGCUCCGGCGGAGAGGGAUGGGCCCGCGGCCUGUUAGCUUGUUGGUGGGGUAACGGCCUACCAAGGCAAUGAUGGGUAGCUGGGUCGAGAGACCGACCAGCCAGAUUGGGACUGAGACACGGCCCAGACUCCUACGGGAGGCAGCAGUGGGGAAUCUUGCACAAUGGGCGAAAGCCUGAUGCAGCGACGCCGCGUGCGGGAUGAAGGCCUUCGGGUUGUAAACCGCUUUCAGCAGGGACGAGGCGAAAGUGACGGUACCUGCAGAAGAAGCCCCGGCUAACUACGUG
rnacentral:rRNA from 1 species